rnacentral:lncRNA from 1 species
GGAUUGAUCUCAAGUUUUCCGGAUGGGUAAAGAUAUCUUGCUCCAAUUCAGAUCACAUUUGAGGAAAAGGGGACGGGAUUACAGUUACUUGUUUGGCUUUCUUUACUUUUUCAUCUGAGCGUCACUGGUGUGUCUUAUGUAGACGAAACUCACGUAUGGCAUUUAUUUGUACUGUAGUCCUGCCAUGUAAUGUUGUCAUUUUAGUGUUAUAUUUAACAUUGCCAUGAAAGCGCAAGGUUUGGCUAGUCACAAAACCAGGUUCAAACCACAUUUUUUUUCUUAUAAUGUCCUGUACCAAGUCAGUAAAAUGGCAAUUGUUAUCUUAUAGUUCGUUUUGUUUUUUGUUGCACUUAAGUGUUUCUGUUGUUUCGUUGUUUUCCUCUUAUAGUUGAUGUGUUUACCUCAGUUUUAGUUUGUAACCAGGAUUUGAUUUCUCUCAAUCGAUUUAUGACUUUCGAACAGCGGUAUACUACUGUUGUGUUUAUUUACGACAAAUGGAAGAUAUAAGCUAUCAUGUGUGAUAUCUUCGGGAAACUGAUUUUUUUUUAAAACACGUCCUUCAAAUUAACAAAUAUGUCCUCCAUCAAGAAAUCAAGCUUCUCACUAAUGUCAGUAUCAGAGACAAGAUACUUGGAAUAUCCGUUUCACAGAUAAUAUCGUAUAUUUUCCUUAUCCCGAAGCAACAAUCCCAUUCCCUUUUCCGACAUUUGACUGGGUUCGUAAUGACAUGAGCAACAUGACGGAUGUCAAUUGUGGAGCAAGCUCUUCUUACCCCUCCGGAGCACCCGAAGUCAUCCCCCAUUUUUUUUGGUAGUGUUCGUGUUGCUUAGUCCUUAGUUUUCUGUGUUGUGUCUUGUGUACUAUUGUUUGUCUUUUCCUAUGUUAAACAGCGUUGUGUGUUUAUUUUGGAUCUAUGAGUUUGACUAUCCCUCUGGUAUCUUUGGCCCUCUUUUGUGUUUACAGUGACCAUUCCUUUUUGUUAAACAAAACAUGACCAACUAAUCGAAUGUGCCUAUCUUAACUUUGAAGUACGGCUUAGAUUUCUGAUAACAUUGAUGUUAAUAAUGGCGCUAGAGGUUUCAUGGAGUAUUUGGGAAAUCCAGAAAUACAACGUUGUUUGUCAGGACACUAUUGUAGUUCAGGUAGUUAGUAAUGGAAGAUCCAGUUCUUCAUCUUUGGUUGACAUCUUAAAGGAACAUAAAACAAGGCUAUGACUUCCUCCUUGGUAUGUUAUUGUGAAUAUAAGUUGAGUUUCAAAGCGAAUUGUCGAUAUCCAAUUCAUGUCAAUGUGUUUUAAACACAGAUACGAUGUUUAUUUGCAGAGACUGGUCAAAAUAGCACGACUUGGUAGAGUGAAAAUGUAUAACAGAUUAGUCAAAACCAUGUACACAAAAACCAUUCCACUCGCCUUUCUAAAUUCGGAGAUCAGUAUUUUUGUGAUUAAAUUUUUUCCAUAAGCCAAACAAUUCUUAGCCAUGUUGUACACGGAAAAACAACAAGCACCUGAUUUUUUGUGUAAAGUUAAAAUGUCCUUGCUACUUCCAAUAUGUUUAAGAAUGCAUUCAAACACGACUACUGGUUGGAUACGGUGGCUGAGGAAAAACAAAAAUAGUUAGCACAUUACAUUAUGUUACAGGUAUUGCGUAGAAUUGUUAAAUACUCAAUAUG